rnacentral:rRNA from 1 species
AACGAACGCUGGCGGCAUGCCUAAUACAUGCAAGUCGAACGAGAUCUUCGGAUCUAGUGGCGCACGGGUGCGUAACGCGUGGGAAUCUGCCCUUGGGUUCGGAAUAACUUCUGGAAACGGAAGCUAAUACCGGAUGAUGACGUAAGUCCAAAGAUUUAUCGCCCAAGGAUGAGCCCGCGUAGGAUUAGCUAGUUGGUGGGGUAAAGGCCCACCAAGGCGACGAUCCUUAGCUGGUCUGAGAGGAUGAUCAGCCACACUGGGACUGAGACACGGCCCAGACUCCUACGGGAGGCAGCAGUAGGGAAUAUUGGACAAUGGGCGAAAGCCUGAUCCAGCAAUGCCGCGUGAGUGAUGAAGGCCUUAGGGUUGUAAAGCUCUUUUACCCGGGAUGAUAAUGACAGUACCGGGAGAAUAAGCUCCGGCUAACUCCGUGCCAGCCGCCGCCGUAAGAC